rnacentral:rRNA from 1 species
AUUGAACGCUGGCGGCAGGCCUAACACAUGCAAGUCGAGCGAGCGGCGGACGGGGGAGUAAUGUCUGGAAAACUGCCUGCUGGAGGGGGAUAACUACUGGAAAAGGUAGCGAAUACCGCAUACCAUCUGAUGUGCCAAGAUGGGAUUAGCUAGUAGGUGGGGUAACGGCUCACCUAGGCGACGAUCCCUAGCUGGUCUGAGAGGAUGACCAGCCACACGGGAACUGAGACACGGUCCAGACUCCUACGGGAGGCAGCAGUGGGGAAUAUUGCACAAUGGGCGCAAGCCUGAUGCAGCCAUGCCGCGUGUGUGAAGAAGGCCUUCGGGUUGUAAAGCACUUUCAGCGGGGAGGCGUUACCCGCAGAAGAAGCACCGGCUAACUCCGUGCCAGCCGCCGCGGUAAUUC